UCGGUUGAUCCUGCCGGACCCGACUGCUAUUUGGGUGAGGAUAAGCCAUGCGAGUUGAAUGGGAAACCUAAAGUUCCCAUGGCAAACUGCUCAGUAACACAUGAUCAACUUACCCUAUAGAGAAAAAUAACCUCGGGAAACUGAGGAUAAUGUUUCAUAGCUGAUUUGGCUUGGAAAAGUUUUUCGGCGAAAGGGGUAAAAAAAAUGGUUUUUAUCUGCUAUAGGAUAGGAUCGUGUUCGAUUAUGGUUGUUGGUGAGGUAAUGGCUCACCAAGCCGAUAAUCGAUAGGGGCCGUGAGAGCGGGAGCCCCGAGAUGGGUACUGAGACAACGACCCAGGCCUUACGAGGCGCAGCAGGCGCGAAACCUCCGCAAUACACGAAAGUGUGACGGGGUUACCCAAAGUGUUCAAUUUGAACUGUGGUAGGUGAGUAAUGUUCCCUACUAGAAAGGAGAGGGCAAGGCUGGUGCCAGCCGCCGCGGUAAAACCAGCUCUUCAAGUGGUCGGGAUAAUUAUUGGGCUUAAAGUGUCCGUAGCCGGUUUAGUAAGUUCCUGGUAAAAUCGGGUAGCUUAACUAUCUAUAUGCUAGGAAUACUACUAUACUAGAGGGCGGGAGAGGUCUGANGUACUACAGGGGUAGGGGUGAAAUCUUAUAAUCCUUGUUGGACCACCAGUGGCGAAGGCGUCAGACUGNAACGCGCCUGACGGUGAGGGACGAAAGCCAGGGGNNCGAACNGGANAANAUACCCGGGUAGUCCUGGNCGUAAACNA
rnacentral:rRNA from 1 species